rnacentral:rRNA from 1 species
GACGAACGCUGGCGGCGUGCCUAAUACAUGCAAGUUGAGCGCUGAAGGUUGGUACUUGUACCAACUGGAUGAGCAGCGAACGGGUGAGUAACGCGUGGGGAAUCUGCCUUUGAGCGGGGGACAACAUUUGGAAACGAAUGCUAAUACCGCAUAAAAACUUUAAACACAAGUUUUAAGUUUGAAAGAUGCAAUUGCAUCACUCAAAGAUGAUCCCGCGUUGUAUUAGCUAGUUGGUGAGGUAAAGGCUCACCAAGGCGAGGAUACAUAGCCGACCUGAGAGGGUGAUCGGCCACAUUGGGAAGGAGACACGGCCCAAACUCCUACGGGAGGCAGCAGUAGGGAAUCUUCGGCAAUGGACGAAAGUCUGACCGAGCAACGCCGCGUGAGUGAAGAAGGUUUUCGGAUCGGAAAACUCUGUUGGUAGAGAAGAACGUUGGUGAGAGUGGAAAGCUCAUCAAGUGACGGUAACUACCCAGAAAGGGACGGCUAACUACGUG